GCAACUGAGUGGGUGAAAGGAAAACAGAUGGAGGAAGUACUGUCCAUAAAGAAUACGUAAGUCCGUUGAACCUUUUUUGUGUGUUUUUUUAGGUACAUAGUUAGGUUUCUGAUUGUCCAUUUGGAAUUAAUUCAACAGUCGUUUCUCUUUGUUAUGCAUAAGUCCUUUAAACCUUUUUUGGGUGUUUUUUAGGUACAUAGUUAGUUUUCUGAUUGUCCAGUUAUAAGUAAUUGAACAAUGGUUUCGCUUAGUAAUGCGUCUUGAACUUUGAGUUCCAUUUCGAGAUUUUUUUAAUUAGUUUCUGCUUGUCAAAUUUAUGUGAAAUGUCACAAAUUAAUGGUCCUGCUAUGUCGUUCUUACCUUGGCCAAUACCAAUAUUGAUUUUGAAAUGGCAAAGAGUAUAUUGGGGGGCUCCCAAGUGGAGUCAGAUUUCAGAUUCCAAAAUAGGAGUUUUUUAAUUAGCAUUUUGACCAGAGUAGCCACUAGCCAGGCAGCAUAACUUUUUUCCUGCUGUUUACGUUUGUGCAACCUGCUUAAAGAUUAUUUGGUAGUCUGCAUUUUCUAGGCUGUGAGAUGUAUUCUGAAACGUAUUCGACUUCAUUACAGGGAAAUAGCGAAACAUCUUUCCCUUCCACCUGUUAAACUGCACUGCAGUAUGCUUGCCGAGGAUGCAAUUAAGGCUGCUGUGAAGGAUUAUGUGUCGAAGAACGCAAAGUCAAGUGACAAGGCAGAGAAUGCGUGAAUGGAAAAAGCAGCUUAUGCUUGGUAUAGUAGUUGAAGAAAUAAAAGGCUUCUGGCAACGACGUUGAGCGUAAGAGUGAUGAUCAGGGAUGUACGUAUAUGAAGUCUCUUGGAUUUUCAUAGAUGUAAAUUGGCUCUAAUGACUGUUUGGUUUGUAAUAGUGAUAUUUAUAGCGAUGUUCGUCCGUCGGUUUUGAAAUACUUGGUUCGGUAUUUUCUGCAUUUUCAUUUAAAAAGUGUUAUACCAUACUGAAAUGGACUAGUAUGGUUAGGUUUUCACUUUUCGACUUGUGCGACUUUGGUGUUACAGUUCAAAGUUGAUAUUCUGUCAACCAAAUAUAUAUAUAUAUAUUGACGAAACAAUCAAGAAACCAGAUGAAAAGUCUCCUGAUCAUGAAGAUUUGUGGACCAUUGACUCGUUGUUGGUUUCUUGGAUUCACAAUGCUAUUGAACCUACUUUGCGUUCAUCUAUACCGCGUAUGGAAUAACUGAAGAUUAAUGAACUAGUAUCAAAGAACAUUUCUCGAUCUCUAAUGAUCUACGAAUACAAUAGUUGAAGGCCGAACUUGUAGAGUGCAAACAAAAGGGAAUGACCAUAGAUAAUUACUAUGGAAAAUUAACAAAACUUUGGGAAGAACUAGCUAAUUUUUAUUGAAUACCAACUUUUAAAUGUAGUAAGUGCACAUCGGAUCUUGAUGCAAUUUUGGAAAAGAAAAGCAAAGAGGACAAGGUGCACUUUUUUCUUAUGGGGUUAGAAGAAACAAUGUAUGGAACAGUGAGGCCGAACUUGCACGCUCAAGAUCUGUUGCCAACUUUGAAUCGAGUUUACUCAAAGUUGAUACAUGAACAUGUAAAGACAAUGGAUCUAUGGAUAGAUAAAUGUGACAAUUUUAUGGCCUUUUCUAUACAAAGAACAUUCCCCAAUAGAACUCAAAAUGAAGUGAAGAACGAAAACACGUUCUCCUACUGUGAGCGUACUGGACAUGAUUUAGAAAGUUGCUUCCAGCUUGUUGGAUAUCCAGAAUGGUGGGAGACAGACCUUGUGGUGAUGGUAAAUCAAAUGGACAUGGUAGAGGAAAACAACAUCAGAGGGGUGGAAUGAAUGGAGGUCGCGGAUAUGGCACUACGUAUCACGUGAAUGUUGCACAAGCCACGAGAUGUGGUAUCGGAUUUUGGUAAGCUUAUUGAAACUUACCUGAAAAAUAAAAAUAGAACGCACCCAAGGCUUUUGGUUCAAAGGCCGAGGUAAGUACGAGUGGCAUAUGGUAGGCAAAAUUAAUUCCAUUUCCAUUUUCUUUGAAGUUCUUGCUUGAAUCUAAUGAAGAGCAUGCAUGCUAAAUCAUUUGGCUAUUCUUGUGUCUAUGAUUGUCACACACACACACAUAUAUAUAUAUAUAGGAGAUUGUAGUUCCCAUACCAUGCCUAUCUUCAACUAUACUUGGAAGAAAACUUGUACCAUCUUGAAAUUUGAAUAAUUGCUUUACUGGGAUCCCCUGCAAGCUUGUGUUUCCAUUGGGCCUGUUGCUAUUAUGUUAUAUUAAUGAUGGAUGGCAUAGUUCGUUCAACUUCAUGUUCUGUUUAUUAUCUCCCGAGCACUGCAAUAUGUCAGUAGUCUUAUAUAUAAUUACUUGUCUUCCUAUCGGCCCUUACCAUUAUCUUAGACCCACCUUUGUUUUUGUUUGUAUGUCCAUGGGGUGACAUAAUUAGAUAGGCUAUGGGAACAAAUCUAUUCUUUAUGUUGAAACAGAUGUAAAGUAUUUUGGCCUUUUCUGUUGAUGUCUGUGCAACCUGACAGAAGAUUAAAUUGGUAGUCUGCAUUUUUCAUUUUUUCCUGCUGUUUACGUUUGUGCAACCUGCUUAAUGAUAUUUGGUAGUCUGCAUUUUCUAGGCUGUGAGAUGUAUUCUGAAACGUAUUCGACUUCAUUACAGGGAAAUAGCGAAACAUCUUUCCCUUCCACCUGUUAAACUGCACUGCAGUAUGCUUGCCGAGGAUGCAAUUAAGGCUGCUGUGAAGGAUUAUGUGUCGAAGAACGCAAAGUCAAGUGACAAGGCAGAGAAUGCGUGAGUGGAAAAAGCAGCUUAUGCUUGGUAUAGUAGUUGAAGA
rnacentral:lncRNA from 1 species